UACAGAGGGGGCAAGCGUUGUUCGGAAUUACUGGGCGUAAAGGGCGCGUAGGCGGCCGCCUAAGUCAGACGUGAAAUCCCUCGGCUCAACCGGGGAACUGCGUCUGAUACUGGGUGGCUUGAAUCCGGGAGAGGGAUGCGGAAUUCCAGGUGUAGCGGUGAAAUGCGUAGAUAUCUGGAGGAACACCGGUGGCGAGGGCGGCAUCCUGGACCGGCAUUGACGCUGAUGAGCGAAAGCUAGGGGAGCAAACGGG
rnacentral:rRNA from 1 species